rnacentral:lncRNA from 1 species
GAGCUAAACUUCCCAGCAAGCGGAGCGCUCGCCUGUGACUCGAGCGAAGAUGGCGGGCCGUGAGAGUCCGCCGCCGUCUGCCCCGUCAAUGGCUCCAAUUUCUUUCGGGUUCACUCGCACGUCUGUCCGGAGGCGACUGGCAGACCUCGGAGAUAGCGAAAGACAGGCCCCAGAGGAGAAAGAUUUCUUGGCGACCGUGGAAGGGAGGAAGCUGCAGAGGUGAAACGCCGGGUCUUUCGCGUUUUGGAAAUCUGUGAAAUGGGCUUAAGCAGGAGGGCAGAGUAAGAGUUGUUUGUCCUGGUGACAGUGGCCUGGAAAGCCUGAAACACUGCCUCGGGAAAUUUAUGGAGGUAACCAGGAGUGGCGGCAAACGCCUAUAAGUCAGGACCUGGGAGGCUGGCGCAGGAGGAUCAGGAAUUGAACGCUAGCCUGGGCAACUAAAAAACAAACAGGAAGAACAUAAGAAUGUAAGGGCAAGAAGAGGGAGGUUUGUUAGGUGGGUGAAAUGGGGCCUGAGAACCAGAGGUAUAGAUUCCUCAGAAAAAAUGUCGUUGGGACUUGAGUAUGUGUGCCUUUUGAGAAAGGGAAAGGAGGGAAAAAUGACAGGAUUCUUCCUGUCUCAGCUGAAAUUGUGGGAGCUUCUCCGAUUUGGAGAACUAGGCAAAUUCAAGUCUGGGGAGGCCAUCAGCAGUAUAAUUAAGUAAGAAACAAAGGUCCGAAAGGCCUAAGUGGGGGACUUGUAAAAGGCAGCUUGCCGGCCCGGAACCGGGAAGAAUCUGGACUAAAGAUGGUGAUUUUUAGGCCAUUGUGGUUGAAGGCCUAAGGCUGAUUCCCACAAGACAUACUUAAAGAGAUCCAUGGUUGUAAUUCCAGCACUAGGGGAUUGCACCAGGCUGACUGAGAGUUUAUAAGACCAGCCUGAGCUAAAUCGUGAGAUGUC